CCGUAAGCUAUUGGCAGUCGCAGAUACCAGGCUGCUGCAACUGUUUAUUAAAAACACAGCACUCUGCAAACACGAAAGUGGACGUAUAGGGUGUGAUGUCUGCCCGGUGCUGGAAGGUUAAUUGAUGGGCUUAGCGUAUGCGAAGGUCUUGAUCGAAGCCCCAGUAAACGGCGGCCGUAACUAUAACGGUCCUAAGGUAGCGAAAUUCCUUGUCGGGUAAGUUCCGACCUGCACGAAUGACAUAAUGAUGGCAGCGCUGUCUCCAGCAGAGACUCAGUGAAAUCGAAAUCGCAGUGAAGAUGCUGUGUACCCGCGGCUAGACGGAAAGACCCCGUGAACCUUUACUACAGCUUUACAUUGAACUUUGACCUGACUUGUGCAGGAUAGGUGGGAGGCUUUGAAACCGAGACGCCAGUCUUGGUGGAGCCAUCCUUGAAAUACCACCCUGGUCAUGUUGGGGUUCUAACUCAGGUAUCACAAUACCGAGGACAAUGUAUGGUGGGUAGUUUGACUGGGGCGGUCUCCUCCUAAAGAGUAACGGAGGAGUACGAAGGUGCGCUCAGAACGGUCGGAAAUCGUUCAAAGAGUAUAAAGGCAAAAGCGCGCUUAACUGCGAGACCCACAAGUCGAGCAGGUACGAAAGUAGGUCUUAGUGAUCCGGUGGUUCUGUAUGGAAGGGCCAUCGCUCAACGGAUAAAAGGUACUCUGGGGAUAACAGGCUGAUACCGCCCAAGAGUUCAUAUCGACGGCGGUGUUUGGCACCUCGAUGUCGGCUCAUCUCAUCCUAGGGCUGAAGCAGGUCCUAAGGGUAUGGCUGUUCGCCAUUUAAAGAGGUACGCGAGCUGGGUUUAGAACGUCGUGAGACAGUUCGGUCCCUAUCUACCGUGGGCGUUGGAAAUUUGAGAGGAUCUGCUCCUAGUACGAGAGGACCAGAGUGGACGAACCGCUGGUGUUCGGGUUGUCAUGCCAAUGGCAUUGCCCGGUAGCUACGUUCGGAUGGGAUAACCGCUGAAAGCAUCUAAGCGGGAAGCCCACCUCAAGAUUAGAUUUCCCUAAAGAGCCGUUCAAGACUAGGACGUUGAUAGGCAGGGUGUGGAAGCGCAGCGAUGCGUGUAGCUAACCUGUACUAAUUGCUCGUUUGGCUUGACCAU
rnacentral:rRNA from 1 species